UAUGUUUAUUUUUGAAACAUCAAUCACAUAUUUUUUACUUAUACGUGAUUCUUUAUUUUUAUAACGUAAAAAAUUACAUUCUAUAACUUUCAAACAAUUAAUAAUUCACUAGUUAUCUAAAUGCCCUAAUUCAUCGAUACAUCACUUGUCUUUUAUAAAAAAUAACCAUAUUACUUUCAUAAAUAACUAGACAAACUUGCAAAAAACAAAUUUAAUGUGGAAAAGUUAUUUGAAUCUCUUCUCUAGUCACAUAUUCCCAUUUUUACUUUACUUUUCUUUUAUUUUAAAAGGUGAAUAGUCUCCUUCAUCGAAUUGGCCAUCGCGUCUUCAUCGCCUCCGUUUCUGUUGUUUCUUUCAGUCUGACAUGGCUUCUCCCUGCGGUUCGUCUAUUUAUGGCAACUCAGCUUCCUUGAAGCAGAAAUCAGUAUAGUAUACCACAAGAACUAAACAACAUCAACAAAGAUGAGGAAAUAAGUGAGAAGCGACAUUGACGAAGAUGAUGGAGAUGAUGAAGUCGAGGAAUGCAACUAUAAGAUUUCAGAAUUGUGGUUGAUGAAGACGAGGAAAAAGAUACUUAAAUAUAUUGUACAUAUUUAUUUGGGGUUAUUAUACUAUUUAUGCUAUAAUAUACUCUUAUUCACAAAUUUCUUUACGAUAUUUAUGAAACUAAACAAUUUUUCAUGCCCUUCAAAUUCAACAAUUCUCUUAUUUGACGUGUUCAUAAGAAUGUAUUAUAUUUUUUAUUAUGUUGUAUUCAGUUUGAUGCUUGCGAAAAA